rnacentral:rRNA from 1 species
AUGGACGGCGGCGGUGUGCAGAUCAUCUCCCGGCGUAUGGUCAGGCCGGAGUACCAAAAGAGGGAGCCUGAGACCACCGUCCACCUCACGCCAUGGGACCUGCAGCGGAUCACCGUGGACUACGCCCAGAGGGGCGUCGUCCUGCCCAAGCCUCCGCCCGGCGUGCUCCAACACCUCUCAUCGUCCUUUGCACGCGCCCUGGGCCGCUUCUACCCCCUCGCCGGCCGCUUGACCGUCUCCGACGGACCGGGCCUCACGAUCUCGCUCCGCUGCAGCGACCAAGGCGCCGAGUUCGUCCACGCCGUGGCGCCCGGGGUCACCAUCGCCGACAUCACCAGCACGCUCUGCAUCCCACGCGUGGUCUGGUCCCUGUUCCCUCUCAACGGGGUGGUCGGCACGGACGCCGCCGUGGACCCCAGCCUGCCCGUCCUGGCAGCGCAGGUCACCGAGCUCGCCGACGGCCUCGUCGUCGCCAUGUCGCUCAACCACGCCGCCGCCAACGGCACCACGUUCUGGGACGUGUUCAACACGUGGUCCGAGAUCAGCCGCAACGGAGACACCUCACUGUCCACGUCCACGUUGCCACUGCCCCUGCCCAAGAGGUGGUUCCUCGAGGGCUGCACCGUGCCGAUCCCGCUCCCCUUUGCCAAGGUGGAGGACAUGGCCAGGAAGCCGGAGUACCCGCCGGUGAAGGAAUGCUCGCUCCAUUUCUCCACGGAGAGCGUGAGGAAGCUGAAGGCGAAAGCGAACAAUGAGAUGUCGGCCGGCACAGGAGCCACCAUCUCCUCCCUGCAGGCCGUGCUCGCGCACCUGUGGCAGGCCACGUGCCGUGCCCGGGGGCUCGUGCAGGACCAGGAGACGACGUGCUCGCUCGCCGUCGGAUGCCGGGCGCGCCUGAAGGGCAUGCCGCAGGUCUACGUGGGCAACGCGGUAACGGGCGCCGUCGGCAGGGCCGCCGUGGGCGAGAUCCUGGGCGACGGCCGGCUGGGCUGGGCGGCGUUGCUCCUGAACCGGGCCGUGGCUGCGGUGGACGAGGCGAGCGUGAGGGAGGAGCUCGCGGCGUGGCCUGGAAACCCCAGCUUCAAGUACCUGGCCGGCGGCGGCGCGGCGAUCAUGGCCACGGGGUCGCCGCGGUUCGACGUGUACGGCAACGACUUCGGAUGGGGCAGGCCGGUGGCCGUCCGGAGCGGCCCCGCGAACAAGGUGGACGGGAUGGUCACGGUUUACGGGGACGGCGGAGGGAGCGGGGGCUUGGAGCUGCAGGUGUGCCUCGCCCCUGACGUGCUCGACAGGCUCGUCGCCGACGAAGAGCUGCUGACCUCGUACGGUACGCCGGUCUAG